CUCGAGGUCACCCUCAGCCGCUCGCCCGCCGUUGCUAGCCCUCGGCCCCUAGCUCGCUCUUACCCUCCCUUUGCUCGUCGUCGCUCGCGCUCGCCCUCGGCCCCUCGCCUGCCGUCGCUGACUCGCUCUCGCCGUUCCUCAGGAAAAAUUUAAUGUUGACAAAGGACAUAUGAAGAAUUUCAUUUUGAGAAACAUUGAAAAAAAAUGGAAGGAUAAUAGAUGCAAGUUAUACCACGAGUACUAUGAUCCCAUUAUUGGUCGAGAGGCAAAUCUUGCAAAACAUCCAGUAGAAAUCUCCCAAGACCAGUGGGCAAGUUUCAUUGAUUAUCGUGCACACGAGAAAAUUAAGGAGAUGUGUCUACAAAAUAGUGAAAAAUCGAUCCAAAUUGACAAUCCCACACACUGAAGGAUCAAAGAGUCUGGCAAGAAAAAAACAUGAGAUAUGGAAAUUGAGAGUGGUCAGCUAGUGAGUAGGGGUUUAUUAUACAUCGCGACACAUAAGAAGAAAGACGGAUCUUUUGUGAAUGAAGGAGUACGAACUAUAAGCGUUCUUAAGAUUACUUUCAGAGUAUAACUGGGCCUUUUCUGCUUUGGUUGUUGACAUAAAUGCUAACUUGACAGGGAAUGAUGAUAAGGAAAUUAAUGUGAGUGCCACUGUUGUGUAAUCAGCUUGAUGAUGGCCAUAUCUUAUCUGUCAAUUCAUUUCUUUCACUUAACUUUGUUGUAAUGUUCAAAAUUUAUGACAUCAGUUGAUUUCCAAAUUGAUAGGGGAAUUUUAUGUCAAGUAGAAAAACAUCCAUAUUUAUAUAGAAAAAUUUUUGUGAGUUGAUUUGCUGGUGUUUUGUUGUUAUUGAUAAUGUUUUUUAAUCCAUACAUAUACAGGACAAAAUUUUUGACAUUGAGAGUCAAGGCACGUCUCCAUAGUCAUUCUCCUUACACGAUUCACUUGCUCAAGUGCUAGGAAAAGAACACUCAAGUCAAGGCCAAGGUUUGGGACUUGGUCCGAGUCCAAAUCAAGUUUUUGGGACCAGUAGUCAAUUGAAUGGGAUAUCUUCGUAUUCCAAUAAUACCAGUCCAUCAUGUCAAGAACAAGUGAACUUUUUGACAGAAGAAUUACGAACUAAUAAACAAAAGGUUCAAAGUUUAGAGUCGCAGCUGCAAAAUUUUCAAGGUGUAGUGAGUUUUCUUUUGACAAACGUUGUAAUGAAUAUACCACCUGAGAUUGUUGUGAUGCUCAAUUCAAUGGUAUGUUAAUUCUGAAAUUAUUAAUUUUCAUUUUUCAUUUGAAGUGAUUGUUUAUGUUUAUGCCUACAAAUACUUUUAAGAGUAUGUUUUUAUAUUUUGUAUAAAUCUAAUACAAUUUUAAUUAUUUCAGGCACUAGAUGCGAAUAGUGGACAAGCUUCACCAGCGGGAAGGCGGUCUUCGAUAUCUAGUCAUAACAUUCAUGAUCCACCACAACCUCCAGACCAACAAAAUUGAUGUAUUGUUAAGAUAUUUGAACAACUUGACUUCUAAACUUUUUAAAUUUCAUUUUGAUAUAUAAGUCUAUUUUGAUUGGACUUUGAUAUGUUACAUGUUUGGAUAUUUUAGUUGGAAUCUUUAUAGUUUGUUGAUUAAAUAGA